UUUAUAUGAGAGUUUGAUCCUGGCUCAGGAUGAACGCCGGCGGUGUGCCUAAUACAUGCAAGUCGAACGCGUUGGCCCAAUUGAUUGAUGGUGCUUGCACCUGAUUGAUUUUGGUCGCCAACGAGUGGCGGACGGGUGAGUAACACGUAGGUAACCUGCCCAGAAGCGGGGGACAACAUUUGGAAACAGAUGCUAAUACCGCAU
rnacentral:rRNA from 1 species